CUGCUCCUGCUGGUGAUCUGCGGUCUUUCAAAUCGGCUUUGGCUGUGACUCUGGAAGACUUAAAGUUACGUUUUUCUUUGAGAAAAGAAAAAAAGAACAGCACUGAAGUCAUUCUUAAAAAAGGAAGAUGUGUUUGGAGUUUUGUUGACUGGAUACGACAAAAGUUUAGUCUAUCAACUAGCGUUGCUCUGGUUGGUUGUAGCGCUACCCUGUUGCGUGCAGAGGGAUUUUGAAAGACAACCGUUUAUCCCGCCCCUCGGAUUGAGCCCUGCCAAUGGGGAGUUCCCAGACCCAACAUCUUGAUGAUGUGUGUCUGGCUUGUCAGUCUA